rnacentral:rRNA from 1 species
AAUGAACGCUGGCGGCGUGCCUAAUACAUGCAAGUCGAGCGAACGGACGAGAAGCUUGCUUCUCUGAUGUUAGCGGCGGACGGGUGAGUAACACGUGGAUAACCUACCUAUAAGACUGGGAUAACUUCGGGAAACCGGAGCUAAUACCGGCUAAUAUUUUGAACCGCAUGGUUCAAAAGCGCAAGACGGUCUUGCUGUCACUUAUAGAUGGAUCCGCGCUGCAUUAGCUAGUUGGUAAGGUAACGGCUUACCAAGGCAACGAUGCGUAGCCGACCUGAGAGGGUGAUCGGCCACACUGGAACUGAGACACGGUCCAGACUCCUACGGGAGGCAGCAGUAGGGAAUCUUCCGCAAUGGGCGAAAGCCUGACGGAGCAACGCCGCGUGAGUGAUGAAGGUCUUCGGAUCGUAAAACUCUGUUAUUAGGGAAGAACAGAUGUGUAAGUAACUGUGCACAUCUUGACGGUACCUAAACAGAAAGCCACGGCUAACUUCGUG